AAAAUUAAACUCAGCCUGUGAUAUGGCUGUUUAGAGAGACAUUCCUUUUGUUUCAGGAUGGAAGGCAACAUCAUUCUGUAGCACCACAUUGCUUCUGAGUGGACACUUGCCAUUGUCUCAAGCUACCUGUUAGGUUGGGAUCUAACAAGCCAGACAUCUGCUCCUCCAACAGAGCUGCUAACACUACCAACAGGACAUUCUGAAAAUCGUGUCAAAUGUAAUUCACUUUAAAAUGGAAGCACCAACGCUGGCAUCAGCAGAGUCCUUCAAAGAAUUUGAUUCAGUGGAGGCCAACUCAACAAAAUAGAAAGCCCCAGAUGGACAGCCAUUGGCUGCACCUGGAGCAGACAAUUGAGAGGCCUGGCUCAUGGAUGGGUUUGAACCACCUCAGGACUGAAGAUGAGCGGCUCAGUUUCACUAACAACAAGAACAGUGACAAAUUCCCUGCCCGGCCCAAGCUCUGUGGUCCUUAUGCAGGUCAUCCCUAAGUUCAGGGUGAGGAGAUGACCUACCCUUCUGCCCCGCAACGCCAUCCUACAUCUGAAAUUCUUCUUAAGGGCAUGGUGGAAACCCUUACCUUUGAGAUGAGCCCAGUACCAGCACUAACAUAUGGAACCAUAGAGUUGACACUGGAGGAACCCCCAGGUUUCAUUUGAGAGGACACUGGAGUUCAGCGUGGAAGAAAGGCCUGCCCAAAGUCACACAGCCCAGGGCUCCUGGCAGGGAGCCACGGCUGCUUUCUCUGCUCCAUACUGGAAUUAAAGGUUGAAUUCCAGGCAAUUUUCCAGUUCCUAGUCCCACUGGAUGGAAAGUCAACACACCUGGUUCUCUCAGUGAUCUGAAAUCACAUGCAGAAAUCCACUCCUUAGUCACAAAGAGAAGUUAGUGGAAGUGUGUUUUGUUCCUAGUUAUCCUCUCCAAAGGUUCAGCCCUUUGCAUUCCCUUAGGAGAAAACAGGGCCUGCCCUCCUCAUGUCUGUCACCUGUCCAAGAUCAUUCCUUCUAUCAUUCACCUCCCAUUAACCAAAAUCCCCUUCUCUAGGUACCUGGGUCUUGGACAGCUGUCAAGUGGAAAGCCUUCUGAUUAACUAAUACUAUAAUGUAAAUGACUGCAAAGUUCCCUCUUGUGAUAACUGAGUCCUGGACAGUGGUCAAGGAAGAAAUCCUUCUUAUUAAUUCCCAGUAAGAUGUGAAUCACUGACAACUAGCUCUCCAAUUGUAUCGUCAAAGAGAGUGCCUGGAGGUUCAAAAUGUUCGUAAUUCCUUUCAUUUGUUUGACAAUUAUAGAAGUUUUGCUCAAAUCUGGGUUUAGUCACUUAGGAGCUUUGACCUUAUUAAAGUUAUUUAACCUCCCUGAGCCUCAGUUACCUCACUGGGAAAAUGAAGAUCAUAAUUAGACCCCAAAAUAUCAGGUGAGAAUUAACUGGGCUCACAGCAUAGCCUCUGACUGAUUAUAGGUGCUUAAUAAAUGUUAGUUCCUUUUGAAAGAUAGAAGUUGCCACCCAUGGAGAUUUUAAAACUUGCUCAAGAGCACUGCUGGUGAGAGCUGGGUCAGAAACAGCAGUUCAGAAGCUUCUAGCAGCGUUGCAAAGUCCCUCCUGGCAGGACAUCAGCAUUGGUCUCAUUCAUUGACACAUGUCUGAGGCCCAUGCCUGGGUACUAGGGAUAUGGGCAAUGUGGAGAGGCUGGUGGGCAGAGUACUUGGAGAGUGGUAGUUGCAUGGGAGUAGUCACAGAAAUCACUGUUUUGGGAGUCUUCAGCAGACUCCAUCACUGUGGCCAAGCUGGGGAGAUGAGGGUGGCUUGAGGUUGGGUUAGACAGGCAGGGCAGAGGUGUGUGGCAUUGUUGAUGGGCCAGGUCAACUUGGAUGAGGUCUCUUGGCAUGCACCUCUCCUAGGGGAUGUGAGAGCUGACCUCUGUGGGGAAAGACCUGGGCUAUCCAUCACCUGUUUGCUCAGGGCAUUAUGCCCUUGUGUGAGAGGCAGCUGAGUGGCCACAGGGCCUCUGCAGCCUCCAAACCUGGGAGACAAAGAGGGGAAGGCUGACUCCCUCUUGGUGAGGAACCAACUUCUUCUAAUUCAAGGAGGCUGGGGCUGCCACCACCUGACAUCAGCCAUGGGGACCGGUUUGUUCUGUCAUGUCUUCAGAGGACUGGCCUUGGAAAGCAGCACUGCUGGAAAUCCUGCUGUAAAGCACAGACUUCUGCCAUGGAGUCCAAGUUUGUCCAAGUUUUCAUGCAAUGGGUUUGCUAAAAGUGGGACCUAUUGUUUUGUUAUAGAAACCUGGGCUAAGGACUCACAGCAGAUAAAAAUAAACUUAUUUCAUUAUCAAAGUAAAACAUGUCCAUUGCAAAGGAUAUAGAAAAUACAAGAAAAGUGAAAUGUUAAAAUCAUGCACAGUGCCAUCCCAAACUCUUACUAAGAUUCUAUGUGUUAUGUUCGUGCAAAAGUAACUGCAGUUUUACCAUUACUUUUAAUGGCAAAUUAAAAGUUUAUUCCCUUUGAUGCAAUAUUGGGACUCUAAUUAAAAGUUACGGCAAACUCGCAAAACCUAAUAUUUUCUUCUACCAUUUUUUCCACAUACAUUUUUGCAGAUGUCAUCUUAGUUUCCUGCCAUUUUGUCACAUGCAUAAACAUAUUUUAAAUUAUUAUAAUAUGCUUAUACAUUUCUUUUGUUUACUGUCUUUUU
rnacentral:lncRNA from 10 species